rnacentral:rRNA from 1 species
UCAGAGUGAACGCUGGCGGCAGGCCUAAUACAUAGCAAGUCGAACGGCAGCACAGCAGAGCUUGCUCUGUGGGUGGCGAGUGGCGGACGGGUGAGGAAUACGUGGGAAUCUGCCCAGUCGUGGGGGAUAACGUAGGGGAACUUACGCUAAUACCGCAUGCGCCCUUCGGGGGAAAGCCGGGGACCUUCGGGCCUGGCGCGAUUGGAUGAGCCCACGUCGGAUUAGCUAGUUGGCGGGGUAAAGGCCCACCAAGGCGACGAUCCGUAGCUGGUCUGAGAGGAUGAUCAGCCACACUGGAACUGAGACACGGUCCAGACUCCUACGGGAGGCAGCAGUAGGGAAUAUUGGACAAUGGGCGCAAGCCUGAUCCAGCCAUGCCGCGUGAGUGAAGAAGGCCCUCGGGUUGUAAAGCUCUUUUGUCCGGAAAGAAAAGCGCCGGGUUAAUACCCUGGUGUCCUGACGGUACGGGAAGAAUAAGCACCGGCUAACUUCGUG